UGUGUAUAUAAGAACAAUAAACCCACAGCUCUGUCUGUUCCUGCUUGACCCUCAAAACGGAGCCUUGUCUCGUUCUUGGGGGGAUUUAUUGUAUGCUGUUCCAGUUCGACUGCCUGGAGUGUAAACCUAUUCGUAUGGUUUUUCCUAUUCGGCUGUUUACAGUAUUCGUAUGUUUGAGAGCAUUCAUAUGCUUCUCCGGUUCGGUGGAUUGGUGUCUACAGUAGCUGCCUGUGUUGUAGUUAAUGGAAUAUAUUCGAAGCUUGGACUUGUCACC